rnacentral:miRNA from 1 species
AUAUAUAUAUAUAUGUAUAUAUGCAUACACACAUAUAUGAUAUGGCUGGCGACUAUGUGUAUAUAUAUUAUAAUGUAUGUGUGUGUGUA